UUAAUGCGUCAUCCGGCAGGAGCCUGUGAACCCGGUCAGGACUGGAAAGUAGCAGCCGUAAGCUGUGCGUAAUGGGUGGGUGACGCAUAUUUUU
rnacentral:SRP_RNA from 1 species